rnacentral:rRNA from 1 species
UACGGAGGGUGCGAGCGUUGUCCGGAAUCACUGGGCGUAAAGGGCGCGUAGGCGGCGGAGUAAGCGUGCGGUGAAAGCUCGGGGCUCAACCCCGAGUCGGCCGUGCGAACUGCUCUCGCUCGAGCAUUGUAGAGGUCGAUGGGAUUCCGGGUGUAGCGGUGGAAUGCGUAGAGAUCCGGAAGAACACCGGUGGCGAAGGCGGUCGACUGGGCAAUGGCUGACGCUGAGGCGCGACAGCGUGGGGAGCAAACAGG